UGGGAGGUAGACAAUUGAAAAGGAACAUGGAAGAAAAAGCCAGCGAGGCGGAGGAGAAAUGAAAACAGAAAAUAUCAAAGUGCAUUCGGAUAGAUCUGCCCACUGCUCGUGAUCACUGUUUCCUUCACUGUGGUCCUCCAGAAUUCGUGGAUCGAAGAACAACACGAGGAAAGGAACGAGGAUGGCAAGGGCAAGCCAAGAAGAUAGCCAGCUGCUAGCAAGGAUGCCUAUCAGUCACAUAAAUCCAGAACAAAGUCCCACAGACCUGUGAUUGGCCCAUCUCUACAGUACAGGACUUCAUGGAAUCAUCAUGGAAAACAACCUCUAAGCAUGUCUGUUUCCAGAGGGAUUUAACUGAGAGGGGAAGACAAACCCUGAAUUUGAGCAGCACCAUCCUCUGAUGUUGGGCCCACAGUGAGUAAAACGAGAAAGUAAGCUAAGCAGCAGUAUUCAUCAGUCUGGUCUUCCUGAUGUGUAUGUCAUGUGACCAACUACCUUAUUCUCCAGCCAGCAUGGUUUCUCCUGUGAUGGG